rnacentral:pre_miRNA from 1 species
UCUUCAUUUCACUCGGCUCUCUCACCGGUCAGAGAGGGCGAGAGAGUGUGUGAAAUGAAGAGA